rnacentral:tRNA from 1 species
GCUUCUGAGGCUUAUUUGGUUGAAGCGCUAGUCUGGUAAAUAUGAAGUUGUGGGUUCAAAUCCCAUCAGAACGCG